rnacentral:snRNA from 1 species
GUGCUUGCUUUGGUAGCACAUAUACUAAAAUUAGAACGAUACAAAGAAGAUUAGCAUGGCCCCUACACAAGGAUGACAUGAAAAUUUUGAAGUGUUCCAUAUUAAA